AGAGUUUGAUCCUGGCUCAGAACGAACGCUGGCGGCAGGCCUAACACAUGCAAGUCGAGCGCCCGCAGGGGAGCGGCAGACGGGUGAGUAACGCGUGGGAACGUGCCCUUUGGUUCGGAAUAUUCCCGGGAAACUGGGAGCAAAACCGGAUAAGCCCUUCGGGGGAAAGUUUACGCCAAAGGAUCGGCCCGCGUUAGAUUAGGUAGUUGGUGGGGUAACGGCCUACCAAGCCUACGAUCUAUAGCUGAUCUGAGAGGAUGAUCAGCCACACUGGGACUGAGACACGGCCCAGACUCCUACGGGAGGCAGCAGUGGGGAAUCUUGGACAAUGGGCGCAAGCCUGAUCCAGCCAUGCCGCGUGGAUGACUGAAGGCCCUAGGGUUGUAAAGUCCUUUCGACGGGGACGAUAGUGACGGUACCCGUAGAAGAAGCCCCGGCUAACUUCGUGCCAGCAGCCGCGGUAAUACGAAGGGGGCUAGCGUUGUUCGGAUUUACUGGGCGUAAAGGGCGCGUAGGCGGAUUUUUAAGUCGGGGGUGAAAUCCCGGAGCUCAACUCCGGAACUGCCUUCGAUACUGGAAGUCUGGAGCACGGUAGAGGUGAGUGGAAUUCCGAGUGUAGCGGUGAAAUGCGUAGA
rnacentral:rRNA from 1 species